rnacentral:lncRNA from 1 species
GUCUUCCUUGCACUCACAAAAUCAUGAGGAAAAGGGAUAUAUGGAAUGAAUAAUGAGUUUCUCGAUAAAAGAAAUGUAACAUGAGUUGUUAAAUUCCAUUCCUAUUUAGGAGAAUGAUAUCAGUGUAAACUUAGAUGAAAGCUUUAAUUUUUGGAAAAUUACCAAAAUAUCAUUUGACCAAAACAUUUUUCAUAAAUGUCACCCUCCUACGUCGGUGGAGAGGAGGGUGCCAAAUUUGAAAAGUGGUUUGGUCAAGCGACAUUUUCUUUAUUUUCCCUUAAUUUUUUCCUUCAAUUAUAGAUGUUGAUAUAGUUGUUGAUCGAGCAGUAUUUGUAGGUCGGCGGCAGUGGCGGAUGUAGCUUAUACAAGGGGGCAACGCCCGCUACGGCUUGGCACGGAAAAAUUUGGAAAAAUUAAUGUAAAUUUCGGAAAAAUUUGACGUUUUUUCGAUUUCGUUACGACUUAUAUAUAAAACGUUACGGCUACGAUCCGUUUCUAGAUCCGCCACUGGUCGGCGGGUUGAACCCGAAAUGCAUCCGAAAAUCAUAACACCUAUGAACCAGAAUACAACAUGUAUUCAUGGACAGUGACAGAUCUAGGAAUUUUUUCCGAUUGAUUCUUUUUGAUAGAUUCUCACUUUUUUUUAAAUAAAUUAUACAAGGUUUUCACUAAUUUUUUCUAUCUUUUUCAAACCGAGUAGGUUUUAAAGAACCCAAAAAACAAGGUUGGAUCCAGUCUUGCUCACAGACAACACAACCCGUCUGACUCAAGAAAAAAAGUUAGUUACUUUUCUUUACAUAUAAAUACUUUAAAAUUCUGAAUUUACAUAUUACUUUUCUUUUUUAUAAAUACUUAUGUUUAUUUUAGCACUAUCCUAUGCCAUUUUAAACUUUUAUAUUAUACUAAACACAUUAUAAAAAUAGGGUGGUGAUCUUGACCAUCCAUUAAGUUAAUCAAGGGGCUAAGAUUAAAUUAGGGAAAUUGAAAGGAAGAAAAGAGGCGCGUGAGUUUGUUCAAGGGCAUUCUAGUCAAUCCAAGCCAAUAGUUUCUCUCUCCUCCAAUUCACCCCCAUUUUUUUGAACGUUAAUAACUCUUUCAUACGACAUUAUUUUUUUAUAAAAAUUGCACAAAAAAACGAGCGUUUUUUUAUCUUUAAAACGAGUAUACUAUUGCUAUAUUUUAAAA